rnacentral:rRNA from 1 species
AGUGAACGCUGGCGGCAGGCUUAACACAUGCAAGUCGAACGCACCGCAAGGUGAGUGGCAGGCGGGUGAGUAACGCGUGGGAACCUUCCCUUUGGUUCAGGAUAGCUCCGGGAAACUGGAAUUAAUACUGGAUAAGAUCUACGGAUGAAAGAUUUAUCGCCGAAGGAUGGGCCCGCGUAAGAUUAGCUAGUUGGUGAGGUAAUGGCUCACCAAGGCAAUGAUCUUUAGCUGGUCUGAGAGGAUGAUCGGCCACACUGGAACUGAGACACGGUCCAGACUCCUACGGGAGGCAGCAGUGAGGAAUAUUGGACAAGGGGCGCAAGCCUGAUCCAGCCAUGCCGCGUGAGUGAUGAAGGCCUUAGGGUUGUAAAACUCUUUUAGUAGGGAAAAUAAUGAUGGUACCGGGAGAAUAAGCCCCGGCUAACUCCGUGCCAGCCGCCGCAGUAA